rnacentral:tRNA from 1 species
CGUUCUGUGGCUUAAUUGGUUCUAGCGUCGGACUAGCGAUGCGGAGUCGUGGGUUCGAAUCACACCAAAACAA